AGCUGUUGGAGAAUAAAACCAGCGCGGACGCGCCCUUCGGUUGGGGGGAGAGAGGAAAGGGGGAUCGCUGUGAUGUGUUUAAAGACGGUUCUCGUGAGUUUGUGAUCCUCCAGCAGCACUCCUGACAUCACUAUUCCGACAUUAGCAACGUUCACGGACAGGCUGAUCCCUCGGCUGGGAAAUUCUGCACUAAGAAUGGCGUGUGAUUUAUGAAAAGCAAACUCAUCUGCAGCCGGAAUCAGUGGCUUCAAUGCUUCUCUUUGUUUUUAGUGUCAAAACUGGAGCAGCAGCAACUGACGCUGGCAUGCAGGAGAUUUUACUGUUUGCUUGACAAGUAGCUGAUCAAGGUGUGCUGUUCUGCAUAAAGACGUGUGCUACAAAAUAAUUGCUUUUGUCUUUUAUUUACUUGCAUUUUUUCAUAAUUUGACAGCUUAAUGCAUUAAUUCUUCUAAUUAUCUUUAAACCUGUUACACAAAACCUUUUGCAUAUCUCUUACAUAAGACGUAAAUAAGUUUGUAAGUUGAGAGGACACCCUGUAGCAAAAACAAAACUUUGGGCAA
ensembl:lncRNA